rnacentral:rRNA from 1 species
UGGGGAAUUUUGGACAAUGGGGGAAACCCUGAUCCAGCCAUUCCGCGUGUGCGAUGAAGGCCUUCGGGUUGUAAAGCACUUUUGGCAGGAAAGAAAUCGCACGGGUUAAUAACCCGUGUGGAUGACGGUACCUGCAGAAUAAGCACCGGCUAACUACGUGCCAGCAGCCGCGGUAAUACGUAGGGUGCAAGCGUUAAUCGGAAUUACUGGGCGUAAAGCGUGCGCAGGCGGUUCGGAAAGAAGGAUGUGAAAUCCCAGGGCUUAACCUUGGAACUGCAUUCUUAACUACCGGGCUAGAGUAUGUCAGAGGGAGGUGGAAUUCCGCGUGUAGCAGUGAAAUGCGUAGAUAUGCGGAGGAACACCGAUGGCGAAGGCAGCCUCCUGGGAUAAUACUGACGCUCAUGCACGAAAGCGUGGGGAGCAAACAGG